UGGGUUUGGGUUUUUUUUUUAAUUAAAAAAUUAUUAUUUUUGCCACGUGGCACACAUUUGGCAGCCAUGUAGUACAAAUGUCGCAGUUACGUCAGCAUUUAACGGAUUAAUGGAUAGAAAAUUUAACGGAUGUAUUAUAUUGAAAUAAAAUAAUACUUGAGGUAUGAAAGUGAAAUGUUUUAAAGAUGUUGUAUGAGAUUAUAAUAGACCUCAAACUUGAAGGGUUACUAUGUAAUUUACCAUUUUUUUAUUGAGCCAAAACCAAUAGAACAUUAGAACAAACGAAUGAGGAUAGGAUUCUUACAUUCUAUCCAUUCGUUGUAUAUCAUGCGGUUAAUUUUCAUUAGGUACUGUUUGUGUUUAAUUUUAAAUAAAAAAAUUCAAAAUGAUUUUUUGCCGUAUGAUAUAUGCAAUGUUUUAAAAACUAUAGGCACUAGUUGGGUGGCAGACUGGGGUCUAUUGCCUAGGCGGCUAGGAGGGGGCCAUGAGGACGGAUUUAAGUAAAAUUUAUUAUAUAUUGUAUAAAUAAGUGUCUUCGUAUACUUAAAAAAACAUAAUUGUAUUGAGAUAUAUAAGUUGCAAAAUAUAAUGACAUAUAUAUUAUAAAGUAUUAUAACAUAAUAAAAAUAUGGGAAAUAAACAUAUAAUGUGUGUUAAUUGAAGUAUUCAACAAGUAUUUUACAAUUUAUUAAAUAAAUAAAAAGCAAAAUGAAAGUGACAUAUUUUCUAUCUAAAUGAGAGUUGUGAGUCGUGACCUAGGAGGGUCUGGACGGGCUACGCUAGCACCUAGGCGCUCUAAGCAGGUGCCUAAAUAGAUCUAGGUGUCAUUUCUUUAUUUUCAAACGCUUAAGAAUUAAUCGGGAUGGUAACCAGCUGCCUAGCGCCUGAACAAGAAAUAUUGAAUAUAUGAUAAACGAAUACAAUAUGAGAAUCUUUACGAUCCUCACAAACUGAAUCUGAAUGGUUCCAAAUCCAGAACAGAGUCAACAGAC
rnacentral:lncRNA from 1 species